AUACUUCCUGACAGGGGAGAUACCAUGAUCAUGAAGGUGGUUUUCCCAGGGUAAGGCUUAUCCACUGCACUCCGGGUGUGCUGACCCCUGUGAUUUCCCCAGAUGUGGGAAACACAACUGCAUAAUUUGUGGUAGUGGGGAUUGUGUUAACACUUGCCCCUG
rnacentral:snRNA from 1 species